rnacentral:tRNA from 1 species
GUGCCCGUAGCUCAGUCGGACAGAGCGUCUGACUACGAAUCAGAAGGUCGGGGGUUCGAAUCCCUCCGGGCACG